rnacentral:rRNA from 1 species
AUGAACGCUGGCGGCGUGCCUAAUACCUGCCAGUCGAGCGAACGGACGAGAAGCUUGCUUCUCUGAUGUUAGCGGCGGACGGGGGAGUAACACGUGGAUAACCUACCUAUAAGACUGGGAUAACUUCGGGAAACCGGAGCUAAUACCGGAUAAUAUUUUGAACCGCAUGGUUCAAAAGUGAAAGACGGUCUUGCUGUCACUUAUAGAUGGAUCCGCGCUGCAUUAGCUAGUUGGUAAGGUAACGGCUUACCAAGGCAACGAUGCAUAGCCGACCUGAGAGGGUGAUCGGCCACACUGGAACUGAGACACGGUCCAGACUCCUACGGGAGGCAGCAGUAGGGAAUCUUCCGCAAUGGGCGAAAGCCUGACGGAGCAACGCCGCGUGAGUGAUGAAGGUCUUCGGAUCGUAAAACUCUGUUAUUAGGGAAGAACAUAUGUGUAAGUAACUGUGCACAUCUUGACGGUACCUAAUCAGAAAGCCACGGCUAACUACGUG